AACGCACCUUGCGCUCCCUGGUAUUCCGGGGAGCAUGCCUGUUUGAGUGUCAUGGUAUUCUCAACCUUCAUAACUUUUUGUUAUCGAAGGCUUGGACUUGGAGGUCGUGCUGGCUACUCGUUUAGUCGGCUCCUCUUAAAUGUAUUAGCGUGAGUGUAACGGAUCGCUUCGGUGUGAUAAUUAUCUGCGCCGUGGUCGUGAAGUAACAUAAGCUUGCGCUUCUAACCGUCCUUCAGUUGGACAAACUUUACCUUAUGACAUUUGACCUCAAAUCAGGUAGGACUACCCGCUGAACUUAA
rnacentral:misc_RNA from 1 species